AAUCUACCUUUGAGUGGGGAAUAACAAUUAGAAAUGAUUGCUAAUACCGCAUAUACCCUCCGGGGGAAAGGCUUCGGCCGCUCUUAGAUGAGCCCGCGUACGAUUAGUUUGUUGGUGAGGUAAAGGCUCACCAAGACUACGAUCGUUAGCUGGUUUGAGAGGAUGAUCAGCCACACUGGGACUGAGACACGGCCCAGACUCCUACGGGAGGCAGCAGUGGGGAAUAUUGGACAAUGGGCGAAAGCCUGAUCCAGCCAUGCCGCGUGAGUGAAGAAGGCCUUAGGGUUGUAAA
rnacentral:rRNA from 1 species